UACGGAGGGUGCGAGCGUUGUCCGGAAUCACUGGGCGUAAAGCGCACGUAGGCGGACUCUUAAGUCGGUGGUGAAAUCCUGGAGCUCAACUCCAGAACUGCCUUCGAUACUGAGAGUCUCGAGACCGGUAGAGGUAAGUGGAACUGCGAGUGUAGAGGUGAAAUUCGUAGAUAUUCGCAAGAACACCAGUGGCGAAGGCGGCUUACUGGACCGGUUCUGACGCUGAGGCGCGAAAGCGUGGGGAGCAAACAGG
rnacentral:rRNA from 1 species